rnacentral:rRNA from 1 species
AGUGAACGCUGGCGGUAGGCCUAACACAUGCAAGUCGAACGGCAGCACAGUAAGAGCUUGCUCUUACGGGUGGCGAGUGGCGGACGGGUGAGGAAUACAUCGGAAUCUACUUUUUCGUGGGGGAUAACGUAGGGAAACUGACGCUAAUACCGCAUACGACCUACGGCUGAAAGCAGUGGAUCUUCGGACCUUGCGCGAUUGAUUGAGCCGGUGUCGGAUUAGCUAGUUGGCGGGGUAAAGGCCCACCAAGGCGACGAUCCGUAGCUGGUCUGAGAGGAUGAUCAGCCACACUGGAACUGAGACACGGUCCAGACUCCUACGGGAGGCAGCAGUGGGGAAUAUUGGACAAUGGGCGCAAGCCUGAUCCAGCCAUAUCGCGUGGGUGAAGAAGGCCUUCGGGUUGUAAAGCCCUUUUGUUGGGAAAGAAAAGCAGCAGGUUAAUACCCCGCUGUUUUGACGGUACCCAAAGAAUAAGCACCGGCUAACUUCGUG